rnacentral:rRNA from 1 species
GAUGAACGCUGGCGGCGUGCCUAAUACAUGCAAGUCGAGCGAACGGACGAGAAGCUUGCUUCUCUGAUGUUAGCGGCGGACGGGUGAGUAACACGUGGAUAACCUACCUAUAAGACUGGGAUAACCUCGGGAAACCGGAGCUAAUACCGGAUAAUAUUUUGAACCGCAUGGUUCAAAAGUGAAAGACGGUCUUGCUGUCACUUAUAGAUGGAUCCGCGCUGCAUUAGCUAGUUGGUAAGGUAACGGCUUACCAAGGCAACGAUGCAUAGCCGACCUGAGAGGGUGAUCGGCCACACUGGAACUGAGACACGGUCCAGACUCCUACGGGAGGCAGCAGUAGGGAAUCUUCCGCAAUGGGCGAAAGCCUGACGGAGCAACGCCGCGUGAGUGAUGAAGGUCUUCGGAUCGUAAAACCCUGUUAUUAGGGAAGAACAUAUGUGUAAGUAACUGUGCACAUCUUGACGGUACCUAAUCAGAAAGCCACGGCUAACUACGUG